rnacentral:tRNA from 2 species
GGGUCACUAGCUCAGCUGGAUAGAGCAACAGCCUUCUAAGCUGUGGGUCGGAGGUUCGAGUCCCCCGUGGCUCACCA